rnacentral:lncRNA from 1 species
UGGUCCCCCACCCGACUGCCCCGCCCGAUGAUGGCGGGCGACCCCGCGGCGGCUGCGCGAGGAGGCGGGCGGCGGCGGAGGCGGAGGCGAGCCGGGCGCCGCCGCGGUGGUGCGCGUGUACGCGGAGGCGCUCCAGGAGCUCACCUUCAACUGCAAGCCGGUCAUCACCGAGCUCACCAUCAUCGCCGACGCCGUCUGCGCCCGCGUCGCCGAGGUGCCACCUGACCAGAUAUUACCAUCUUUGCAUCUGCUAGACUAGAUAGAUAGUAUUGUGAAGAGCAUUUUUCUGCAAGGUUGCAGAAGGUAUAUAUUUGUCGAUGCAUACUGUAGAGUUCAUCAUUCUUCUUCAGUAAUUUAGACAAGGCCAAAGUGCCUAUGUUUCUAAAAUCCCUGGAGAUGCAGAAACGGGGAAGAGUGCCCUCUCAUUUGUUGUUUGGCACGACACAUGAGAAGGGUCAAUACUGAAAAAUACACCAAUAAGGAAGUUAACAUUGACAAGGUAGUAAGCUGCUAAGGAAUACUCCUGCAGUCGCAACAUUUAGUUUUUCACCGCACACAAUUGAACAUCAUUUCAAACCCACAAUUUGAAAAUUCAAAUUCAGACAUAAAUUAUGAUCGAAAUGCAUAAAACAUGGAGCAUCCCACACUGCCACUGCCGCCCAUCCUUGACGCUAUAAUUUGCGCACGCAGUGGCUCCACAUACACUCUAUGUGUUCUUAUGACCAUGAUCAAGCAUUCUUGCUCCGUCUUCUUCGCUUGUGCUUCCUCUCCAAAGACUAUCAACUUCUCCUCUUCAAUCGCCACCUUGCGUUCCUUAUUUUCCACCUUGCGGUCGUCUAUUGCCUUGACCUCCACCCACCUUGAUUCCUUCUCGUGUUUCCUCUCAGCUACCAUCUCCUUCUUUGUUGCGAUCACAGAUUGGCCAUAAGGUUGGGUUCUCAGUUCUCACAGUUUGGAUGCCGAACGGUAGAGCUCAAUGUAGUCCAGGGCGGGCCGGUUCCAUGACCAGUCCUGCUCCAUGACCCUCUUGCAGAGGGAGUGGAACCAGUCCCGGGCGUCGAACCAAGAAGUGAUCGCCCUGAAAAUGGAACACCCGGAAGAAAGAGCGAUAGGUAAGAAUUUCCAGAGUUCACUGAAACUAGGCACUGCAGUGAGAUUGUGCUUGCCUGUUCAGGGCAUAGUCGACACCAUUGCUGUCAGCUCCGUCGAAGCUGAACCCGUUUGGCUCAAGGCCUCGAGCCCGGGCUCGGUCCUUGUCAUUGUCCACAUCAAAGACAGUGUCGUAGAGCCCUGAGAAACAAGAGAGAUCAGGUCUUGUGCUCACUUCAACCCACUGUGUGCAUGGUGCAGCGAAGUUUGAUGGCAAUGGGGAAUGGUUAAGAGUUGCAGAACAUACCUCCAGUUUUCCGGACAAUAGGGAUGGCUCCAUACCGCAUGGCGACCAGCUGAGUUAAGCCACAAGGCUCAAAUAUGGAUGGAACCAGAAUGAAGUCAGAGCCAGCGUAUAUCUGCAGAGCAUGACCAUGGAAUUAUCUUAGACAGGAUUUAAAAGAUGCUUUGAUGAGGCGUUUUCAUGUCGGCCGUCGCUCGUCGGCUCACCAGAUGUGAAAGAGGCUCGUCGUAGGUUAAACACAGCCUCGCUCGACCAUGGUUUUGGUUCUGGAGAUCAUGUGCCAAGUUGGUAAAAUCACCUUGGAUUCGAGGGUCUGGGGCUGAACCAAGCAAAACCACCUGGAAAGCAAUCGUAUCAUCAGUUUCAGUCCUAAGAGAUGACAGGCAGAAACAACUAUAGAAACAAUUGUGUUGCAAGAAAUGUUCAAUCUGAUAUGCAAAGGGGCCAGGUGGACCUGUCCAUUCCGUUCAAGUGUUCGUUGAAUCGCAUGCUUGAUGAGGUGGAUUCCCUUCUGGGCUGUCAGGCGACUGAUGAUUCCAACAAUGGGCACAUCGUUUUGCUGUAACCCAAACUUCUGCUGCAAGGCCCUCUUUGCAGCACGCUUGCCUUCAACAACAUUCUCGGAAGUGUAUUGGACCUGAAAUUGAUUGAAAUAAACAAUUAAGCAGGAAGCAUAUAUCCACCACACUGGUAUGUGUUAGCAUUUUUUUUAACAAUAAUCAAUAACAGCCAAAGCAUGGAACGGAUGCAGAUUAACAAAAGUUUUCACAUGCACAUUACUUAAAAUGCGAAUGAAUUAAGCUCUUUGUUUCAGUUUACUAAGUUCAAGAAGAAACGGAAUAAAUAGUUUACAAUAAAAAAAGUAAAAUGUAUAUGGAUUAAGUGUACCGGAAUAAAGCUGUCACUGUAUGGAUCCCAGAUAUCUUGAUCAAUUCCAUUGAGGAUGCCAUAGAAUUUUCCAAGAUGAGGAGCGAUGGCGCCAUGACCUGACACUUCCCUUGAAUAUGUAUUAGAGACCUGCAAAGAAUGGAAAAUGAGACUAGAUAAUCAUAUCAAAAGAACAUAAUUCUACAGUACACGAUAAGACAUUUUGUGUAGAGUUAAACACAAUAUUGAAAUCUGUAAGACUGUAUCACUCACAGUGGUGGCUUUAUCACAAUAUUUCAUUGCUUUGCCUAUAUGAUGUGCUCCAAAUUCAAGAUUGUGGAUCGUAAAUACAACCCGUGCAUUUGCCAAACUGGAUUGCACAUAGUUUUCCUUGUAUAGCCAGGCAGUAGGAGCACUUGACCAAUCAUGGCAAUGUAUUAUAUUCUGAAAGGAGAAUAAAAUGUCAGUGGUUUUACAUGAGAAAUUAAAAGAAAUAGAUAAAAAAAAGUCAGCUUCUCUGAAAGUCAGAAUAUACAGGAAGUUAAAGAUUUUAGAAGGGAAAUCUUUAUGAAACAAAUUAAGGAACAUAAAAUUGAAUGACUAUACAAACUUUUUGAACACAAUGAACUGCAAGUGUGCCUAACUCAUGAAAAAACACUAUAACCCAAAAUGUGUAAAUCACACUUACUGGAGAAGAUCCCCUCUGGUGGAGAAAUUCAAGAGCAGAAUGACAGAAGAAGCCAAAUCGACGGUCAUCAUUCCUUCCAUAUACACAUCCGACUCCAAACAUCCUAAAAAGUAAGUGGCAAUUAUUGUAUUUUUAGCCUCUUACAAGAAAAUCCCGGCGAACAGCAAAGCAAAUGAGAUAAAUAAAUCAUUAAAGUGGUAUACACAUGUGACAAAAAUCACACUAUUUAGAUUAUAAAAAAAUAAAAAGAAGCUUGGAACACAACUUCAAACAUCUUAGAACAGGUAGCCCAGAAGAUUACUGAGUCUUGCUUCCAAACAUGAAAGAUCAUGGAACUGCCAAUUUAGUAUACAAAAUGAAUGAUCGAUUUUAUUCUUUUGUUUUUACUAGUUUACCGAUGAUUUUGUCUACCCCAAAAGAGAUCAUGGAACUCCAAUGUAACAUAAUCCCUCCAACUCAAGAAAAGUGCAAUUCUGGCUAUGAACCUAGACAAGUACAUAGCUAGAAUUGCAUUCUUCUUGCAAUGGAGGGAGUAUCACUGUUGCAACUAGCUCCCAACUAGCAUUUCCCUGUGAUGACCAAUGACUCCAAUUUCCAACUAAGUAGUCUAUCUACUCUUGCUGAAAUAAUAUAUAUUACAUAGUAAAAAAAAUGGAUUUGCUGAUCAAAACAUAGCAAAAGUUACUACUCCAAAAACAUAUUACAGAGCCACCAAUCUCACAUAUUAUUACCGUAACCAAAUCCCAGCCAAUCUACAGUAAAAAAAUAUGAUCCAUCACCUACUAGGAUUGAUGAUUUAACUGAAGUGUCUCGAUUCUCCAUGUUGUAAUUAUAUGAACAGCUAGAUUAGAUUUAUCAAAAGCACCUUACCAAUUCUACGUCACCAUUUACAAACCAGUAUAAGGCUCCAGCACACUGAGCUUUGUGGAAAAAAAAGUGACACUAAGGCUUUUAUCGCUGUGAAGAAUAAGCUGCUACAUACCCAUUUUGAGGUUCCAAGAAGUAAACACAGAGGUCUUCAACAAGUCCACGCCAUACUUUUAUUUCAGAACCAUCCCAAGAAAAAUUUUGAUGUAUAUGUAAAUUCUUCACCUGCGGGCAUUAAAAUAGAUGCAUGUCAAUUGUUAAGAGAACUUUAUGUAUGCCUGAUUUAUGUCUCUUAGGUUUUUCUUAUCACUAGGUAAGUUGUUUGCCUCCAUCAUUUUUUCAUAUAAUUCAGUAGUCUACCACGGAAUUAAAAUGGAUUUGCAAACUAACAAGGAAUUAUACUGAUUUAUUAAGCUGCAUACUGAUGAUUCCAAGGCACUCCGCAUAAAUAAAAGCGAGACAACAACACGAGGAAUGAGUGAUUGAACUACGAGUAAGCACAUACGUAUAGAAAAGCACAGUAGGCUUAGAUGUGCUUAACAUAGAGAUGCCAACUUCAGUUCUAGCUAUAAAGUCACUACACUUUUUUUUUAAUCGAACACGCAGGAGAGCUGCGCAUCUUUGUAUUAAGAGAGGAAAAAAUGACCCAAAUUACAAAGCAACAUCACCCCACUUUGGGCCAGGGCAGGGUUUAACCAGACACCCUACCCAUGUCUAACACUGAGAGCCCUUUGGCUCCAGCCAUCUGCCAUAGGUGGGACUCGUCCUUGAAGGCCUGCAGGGCUCCCUGGACAUUAGGAGCAGGUCCUUCAAACACACAAGCGUUGCGAUGUUUUCAUAGGGUCCAUGCACCCAAGAAAUCACUACACUUAUCACAACACAUAAGCAAUAAAGCACUUCUAACUUACAUUGCUUAGAUUCAAGCAAUCAUGCUUUGGAAGAAUAACCUCAACAUUGUGUCCUAAAUCUUGAACAGCACGUGAAAGACUCGUAACAACAUCACCAAGACCUCCAACCUACAAUAGCAUUGGUUAGACAGCAUACUGUUAAUGUAAUGCAACACUAAGAAGAGAAAAAGGAGAUGACAUCUCAUUUUCUGCUAAUCGUAGGAAUUUAACUUAAGAAAUAUGUAUUACCUUUGCAAUGGGAGCCAUCUCAACAGCAAUGUGGACAAUAUGCAUAGGAGGUUCCUUUGCAAUGGAACCAAAAACAGGAAUAUGAUAGUCCAACCCAUUCCUGUUGUCAAAAAUUCCACCUUCUUCUGACUCCGAGAAAACAAAGUCCAUUAUAUAGGCGUCGUGCGGAACGUUAACUGGAAAAGGAGCACUCUACUUCAGAAAUAAGAAAAGUAAGGGGCAAAGAAAGAGCUUUACGUAUCUAUGUGCUACAUUAAAUAAUUACAAGGGAACUCAAGGAGAAGUAAUAUCCCACUGCAUGAAUAUCAAAACAGUGUUAUAAAAACAGGAUACACAGCAGCAGACACGAGUCAACAUGAGUUUGACCUAGUCUGGUUGAAAGGUUGCCACAUUUUUCCAAGGCUUGACUAGCUGUCCUAUGGACAAGCAACGCUAACUCUUCUGGCUGCAUUCUCUAAGUUACAGCCUUUUUCAAAACCCCUGUAAAAAAAUUUAUAGCACAUCUUCUAAAAUAAUGGCAUAUCCGGAGUUGCCUAAUAUACUCUAACAACAAAUACAGUAGGAGUACUUGACCUACUUGACAAGUGCUCUAGCAGACUAGCAGUAGCUGACAAAACUAAUGGCAUAAAAAUUAACCACUGGAAGAGGUACUGAUGCUAGGAUCAAUUAUGUAGGAAGCUCGAACCUGUUGCUUUUAAGUGUGAACCAUGUUCCGCUUUUACCAUCUUUUGGGGUGGCAACACACCACCUGGAUGCAUCCAACGGUUAAAAGAACAUCGAAACCACACCUCUGGUUUUCCCUUUAACACUGUAUUAGAAGGAUUGUAAAGCACAUCAACAGUUGUUCCAGCACGUAUUUCAAGUGGUUCGGUAUAAACAAUGUGUUUUUGAGAAACCAGAAACAUUCUCAUAGUCUUUUCCCUCAUCUCAGCUUUCAUUUUUGCCCUUCUCUCAGCCUGUGCAAGUAAAAGGAAGCAAGAGUCAACUAAAUGAUUCAUCAGCAUAUAUGUCACGAAUAUCAGGAAUUCAGACUAUCAUGCAGAAAUAACUGCUCCUUUUUUAUAACAGUCAAAGCUCUGAAGAAAUGCUGCUACUUGGUUAGACAAUCGUGGGUUACUGGCUAAACCAGUUAACAACUACGUUAACUACAUUUCAAGUUCGAAAUGAUUAAUGUUCAAAUCCUCGGGUUAACUACGUUUUCUUCAAAAGACUAGUCACUAUGGAUGAAUUGUUUAAAAAACAUAAAUUAGCAUGUGAAAAACACUCAAGCAGAGAUGAAAGUUUUUAACUGCGCAAACAUGACUCGUUAUGGGCAAGUUCAGUCAUUGAUGAACCUGUAACUCGAUUUAAGAUUUAGAGUGGGUCAAGCUACAGCAAGUGACCAUCAGCAGGAAUAUCUAUUGGUUCAAACAGAAACACCAGAAGAGCAAAAGGUAUGUUGCAACUGACCUUCAUUUUAAUAGCCUCCUCCCUUUCUCUCCUCUCGCGUUGAAUCCUUGUAUAAAUCCUCUGUUCUUCUUCCACCCAAUAUCCUUCCUCAGUCAUGAUGCUAUUGGGAAGGAUAGCAUGAAAAUCUUGUCUGCCAUUGUUAUCAUAAUUCCUUGCAUUCCCUGGUGGCCCAUCAGCAAAAACGCAGUCCAACACGUAUGCUCUUUGAGGUAAGGCAACUGUACGAGAAAUACC